rnacentral:lncRNA from 1 species
UAAGAAUUCACCACUGGGCAUGGCGGCUCACACCUGUAAUCCCAGCAUUUUGGGAGGCUGAGGCGGGCAGAUUGCUUGAGCUCAGGAGUUCGAGACCAGCCUGGACAACAUAGCGAGACCCCAUCUCUACGAAAAGUACAAAACUUAGCCAGGUGUGGUGGUGUGUGCCUAUAGUUCCAGCUACUUGGGAGGCUGAAGUGGGAGGAUGGCUUGAGAGGUUGCAAGGAGCCGAGAUCGAGCCACUGCAUUCCAGCCUGGGUGACAGACCAAGAGCCUGUCUAAAAAAAAAACCAAAAAACAAACAAACAAAAAAACUUAAACUUUCUUGCAGAUGAGCAGUCUGUGUUAAAAAAGAAAAAAAAAAAAGAAGGAAAAAGGAUUCAACUUUCUCCCCAGCCAUUUUGAGUUAUGUCAUACAUAGGAUAUUUAAAGGAACCUCACUCGUCUCAAGUUUGGCCGAGACACCAAAACAAUAAGGUCACACUUCAAAGUUACGGGCAAGUCCACCAAUACAGGAUUUGCAAAAGAAGAUUAUAGAAAACCAAUUUUCAUGCCGGGCGCGCUGGCUGACGCCUGUAAUCCCAGCACUUUGGGAGGCCGAGGCAGGUGGAUCACGAGGUCAGGAGAUCGAGACCAUCCUGGCCAACAUGGUAAAACUCCAUCUCUACUAAAAAUACAAAAAUGAGCUGGAUGUGGUGGUACGUGCUUGUAAUUCCAGGUACUUGGGAGGCUGAGGUAGGAGAAUCACUUGAACCCAGGAGGCAGAGAUUGCAGUGAGCCAAGAUAGUGUCACUGCACUCCAACCUGGCGACAGAGCAAGACUCCAUCUCAAAAAAAAAAAAAAAAAAGAAAAGAAAACCAGUUUUCAAUCUUCAUUCACUACCCAUCCGCAGCCUGCAAAAGAUGUUGAAGAGAUUGAAAAAAAAAAAGACUCAAGGUUUUAGAAAAAGCUAUUGCUGAACUGAGUCACUGAGUCAUUGCCUCCAACCUCAUCCUAAGGGGUACAUGCCCCUCACCUCACACUAAUAAAACGAAUUUUACUGGGAUCACAU